AGAUUGAACGCUGGCGGCAUGCCUUACACAUGCAAGUCGAACGGCAGCACGGGAGCAAUCCUGGUGGCGAGUGGCGAACGGGUGAGUAAUAUAUCGGAACGUGCCCAGUCGGUGGGGGAUAACGCAGCGAAAGCUGUGCUAAUACCGCAUACGAUCUAUGGAUGAAAGGCGGGGGAUCGCAAGACCUCGCGCGAUUGGAGCGGCCGAUAUCAGAUUAGGUAGUUGGUGGGGUAAAGGCUCACCAAGCCGACGAUCUGUAGCUGGUCUGAGAGGACGACCAGCCACACUGGAACUGAGACACGGUCCAGACUCCUACGGGAGGCAGCAGGUGGGAAUUUUGGAGAAUGGGCGCAAGCCUGACUCCAGCAAAGUGCCCGCGUGCAGGAUAGGAACGGUCCCGUUUCGGGUUACGUAAACGUUGGUCUUUUACGGUAACGGAAACGAAAACGGUCGUUACGUUACGGUUAACUACCGGUGGGACAACGUA
rnacentral:rRNA from 1 species